AGGUUUUCUCUGAAACUGUGAAAAGCCUGCAGUUCUUUCCAGGUGGAAUAUGCUUCAGAAAAUUACAAAAAAGCCCACAGAAUAAAAUCCCUCAUGUGAUAGCUAUCCUUCAGCCUCAGGACCAUGUAUUGCUAUUUAUUGAUAUAAAACUUGCUGCUAUUUUGGGCAGAAUCCUGAUUCAAAGAUUCCUGUUUGGAUCACUCUUACCAGGGAUUAUGUCUGGCAGACAUCAGAUCUACGCCAGAAUUUGAGAGAUUCCAUCACAGACAUUGGAAAGAGCAACCUUGGGCUCUAUCAGCUUAAAGAGUCUUCAGGGCCUGGGAGCCAGCAUGGUGAUAUAUGCUGCAUGUCUGCCAAAAGAAUCCAGCAUCUGCUGAACUCAAAGCAGUGAUGACCACACAGGGAGGAUGCUAUGCUCCUAUCCUCUCAUCUUCAAUCAGGUCACCACAUAGGUGCAUAAGGGCUUCUAUACUGUAUCUGUACUGCUAAAUCGCUCGUGCCGUAUUUCCAAGAAAAUCUUCAGUGAUUUGUAGAUCUUGUUCAGCAGAUAUGGAGACUACUUCUAUUCCUGGACAGGGCUUGUCUUGCUUUCCCGUUCAUUUCUCUCACUUGCCCCCUCAUACUCUACCUCACAGCAAGUUACAGCACCUGGUCCCUGGCUGCACCUUGACUUCUGUACUUGAAGCCCUCUGGUUCUGCUCUGCCCUUCAGCCUCAGACCUAUUGGUUGCUCAUUAUGUUUCUCUUGAACAUCUUCACUUGCUCUUUUCCAAAUUACUAGCUCUCCUGAAGCCUGGUUUUAAAAAUUGUUUUCAUUUUUAGGGAAGCACAUGGAUUUGGUGAUUUUUAGUGAAAGGAUAACAGAAAAGCUUAUCCAGACAGAUGUGCGCCCUCGGUAGUUAAGAGUACUCAUGUGGAAGUGGUGCUUAAAAACUGCUAAAGUUCUUUAAAUAGAAAUAUCUUCACAUUUCUAAGCAAAGCUUCUGAUGAGUUUCUUCACAGCCUGGGCAUAUGCAGUUUGGAGACAGUGAAGUGAGGCUUGAUUAAAUUCUGUGUGAACGUUUCAAGUUCUGGAAUAGUGCUGACAUCUGCUGUUUAUUCUUACCACAUACAUUAAACAUAGGAUAGGGAAUUACUGCCUCUGUGCUUUUUGCUGUCUCAUUUCCAUGCAAAUAUUGCAAGUCAUUUUAUUUCCCACAAAGUAACAUUAAUGGAAGUCACAAGAUACAGUAAAAUUUACCAUGGUCAAUAAAGGUGUGGGAUUUUGAGACAAGAAAAAAGGAGUUCACAGCAAAGAAGAAACUGAAUAUUCAUCCUUUUAAAUGACCAUUGAUGUUUUUAGGUGAGAAAAGGGCUUCAGAAAGGUGGGCUAAGGAAUGAAGUUCCCUGUGCACAGGGCAAAUAUUUAGCCUGAAAGCUCUUUGGUGCAGAGACCACUUUUCAGUCAUCCAUUUCUACAGGAGCUCUUAAAAUGCUGGAGUCCUAAUCCACAUCCAGGAGAGCUGGCUGCUGUGGCAGGAUGAAAGAAUUACAACAAUAGUGGAAGAGCACAGCUGCCUCCUCCUCCUCACGUGCCUCCAUGCCAGGCUUCAACAUGGCCCAGCUGCAUCAGUCCAAGGGGACUCACCUGCCAGCAAGGCCACAAACAUGGGUACCGGUCAAGGUCGCCUGAGCAGGUGUCACUGCUGAGCACUCCAGGGAGUGCACGCAAAGAGCUGGCGUGAGACACCAACUUGUUUCAUACAGGUUUUGAAAGAGCUAUCAUGGGCCAUUUUGUCACUGCUAGGGCUGGGCUGGAUUGGCAACAUGCAAUGUGCUUUGCAUUUCAGCUCUUGCCAGGCAUCCUCCCUUCUAUCCUCACCCUCCAAAAUUGUUCAGGACAGAACAGUUUUAGAUGACGAGAUUUUUUUUGUGAUGAGGUCGCUGUUACAACAGACAGCAGGGAGAAGACAAGCACAGGAGGGGCUGUGGAAAUCCCAGGUGUAUCCUGUUAGUGUGGCACCCGAGAACACUUCCUGUUUCCAUUCUCAAAAGAAAGCAUAUCUUUUAUCUAAACUAAGUGGCCACAUGCACUGAUCUAUGCAACUAUGGUGGUUGUAAAUUGCAUUUCCUUUACUAGGCAUUGCAAUUAAUCACACAGAUAUUUCCGGUUUUAGGAUCUGCUUCCUAUGACAAAUAUCGUGAGUCAGAGACAAGCAAAAUUUUCAGAUUGGUUUUAAAAUGCAAAAGCCUUUAAAAUAACAUUCCAGUUCUUUUUGUCUGCAUUGUGAUAUUACAGUCCAUUAUAGUUUCUCUUUUCAAAACUUUUCACCACAGCUGUCAAGCCUGUAAUAUUUUUUUUUUCUUGUAAAAUGUCUCAUUCUCAUUCGUGUGAAUCCAGAAGCUAGGCUUUUAAGACGCUUGCAAUUACAUUGGGAGAAUUGUGCUGCAGCCUUCCUGGGAGACAAUGAUAGUAUUUUAAUGAUGUCACUGCCAAGGGUCAGGUUUCUGGAGUCUUUGGCUUUGGUUCUGCAAUGACUUCCAAUGAAUAUGCUGAAGUUGGUAGGGUUCCCUCAGGAGCAAAGGUGGCAGCAGGUUAUAUCAUUGAGAAAAGCUUAAGUCAUAAAUACAAAGUAAAACCAAAAUAUCAAUCCUAGAAAAAGCUGUGAAUUUGAAUAUUCUUUGCAUUAUAAUAGAAGCAUUUGUAUUCCCUUUCUUAAGAGAGCACAAACAUGAACAAUAGUGUGAUAAAAAGACAAUAAUAUGCCUGGCACUGAAAAUAUUUAACUUUUUUGCAUAUGAAUUAAAUUAACAAGUACAGUCAGUCUCAAACUUGUUAUUAUUAUGUAAAAAUAGUAAUAAGUGAAAUUUAGAAAACAUUCAAAUCCCAUGAAAGAUAAUUUCAGUAAUGGAAAUUAGAAAUAAAUAGGUGACAUAUGACACUGUCUUGGGCUAGAAAAGAUCUCGACCUUGGAGUUAUAGUCUCAGUGAGUACAAAUAAUCUCUAAGAAGUCACUGAAGUUUCACAUUAAGCCAAAGCUGGGGCUGGCACAAUGCCUCCAUCUUGGUCUCAGCUGGGAACUGGCCCAUGCUCCCUGCACCCCUGAGACCGUGGGAGAGCACGAUGGGUUUCCAGCAUGCCCGUGUGCCCCUUUAGGGGCCUGUAUGUGCCCAGGGAGCUGCUGGACUCAGAGUAGCUGUCCUUACUUACACAGCUGAGGGUUUCCCUGCAUGCACAUGGUAUCACAGCGCGCUUGGCCUCCCAUCACGCCCCAAAGGGGGUGCAGAGCAAAGAGGAGAAGCAGAGCCAUGCCUUGCUCAUAGUCACUGCUGCACAAGCACCACUCUCCCUGCCUGCAGGGGAUGAUUGGUGGGGAGGACAACAGGUAACCCCCUGCAUGAAGAAAUUUCCAUUGAGUUUUAUUUUGUGCAGCUUCACAAAGUUGCGAGAGUUGCUUUAGGUUUCAUGGCAUCGCACAGUUCAUUUCACAGAACGGAGAAAGCUGUGGAGAGCAUGAGGGCAAUUACAAGUCAGACCUAAGGAAUCAGUGGCAUUUUGAGUCUUCUGUGCUAGAGAGUCUUUGCUAUAUUAAAGACCAGUGAUUUUAUUUUGCAAAAUCCUUUUAGUUAAACUUCCCCUGCCAUAUACCCAAACUUUUGUCUCACUAGCCACUCAAAUUUUAUUUAUUCAGCCAUUAGAAUUUUUGACAAAUUCACCUUUGGCUGAAUUACUAGUUCUCCACAAGAUGCUUUGGUGUGACUACAUUAUUUUGACAUGGCUGUGAGGGGUGACGCUCUCUAAGUGGUACUUUUGUUAUGACUCUCAUUCCUGAAAUGGGACUUGAUUUUCAUGGUCAGUUAGAGAAUUUGGUGGGAGAGCUGGAGAAGAUGCAAAGUGUAACAAUGACAGAGAUAGUCAGUGACAUUAACCUGCUCUGAUGCCUGUGUAUAAUUGAAAAGAAGCCAGAGACACGGAAAAUAAAAUUGAGGUUUCAAUGGUGUGAUUAGCUGAUGCAAUCCUAUUGUAGUCUGAGAUGCCCAUGGCAAUAACCUGUAAACUGAUAAAUAAAAUAGUUUUCAUCACUUACU